rnacentral:rRNA from 1 species
UACGUAGGCAGCAAGCGUUGUUCGGAAAUUACUGGGCGUAAAGAGUGUGUAGGCGGUGCUCUAAGUUCGGUGUGAAAUCUCCCGCUUAACUGGGAGGUGCGCCGAAACUGGAGUGCUCGAGCGUGGGAGAGGAAAGCGGGAAUUCCUGGUUGUAGCGGUGAAAUGACGUAGAUAUCAGGAGGGAACACCUGCGGUGUAGACGGCUUUCUGGACCAUUGCUGACGCUGAGACACGAAAGCGUGGGUAGCAAACAGG